CCCGCUGAGUUUAAGCAUAUCAAUAAGCGGAGGAAAAGAAACUUACCAGGAUUCCCCUAGUAACAACGAGCGAACAGGGAAAAGCCUAGCUUGAGAAUCGGGCGCCAUCGGCGUUCGAAUUGUAGUCUGGAGAAGCAUCCUCAGCGGCGGACUGGCCCAAGUCCCCUGGAAAAGGGCACCGGAGAGGGUGAGAGCCCCGUUGUGCCCGGACCCUGUCGCACCACGAGGCGUUGUCUACGAGUCGGGUUGUUUUGGAAUGCAGCCCUAAUCGGGCGGUAAAUUCCGUCCAAGGCUAAAUACGGGUGAGAGACCGAUAGUGAACGAGUACCACGAGGGAAAGAUGAAAAGGACUUUGAAAAGAGAGUCAAAGAGUGCUUGAAAUUGUCGGGAGGAAAGCGGAUGGGGGCCGGUGAUGCGCCCCGGUCGGAUGUGGAAUGGCGAGAACCGGUCUACCGAUCGGCUCGGGGCGUGGACCGACGCGGGUCAUGGCAGCGGCCCAAGCCCGGGCCUUUGAUACACCUGUGGAGAUGUCGUCGCCUCGAUCGUGGGAUCCAGCAUGCGCCGUCUCGGCGUGCUUCGGCACCUACGUGCUCCGGGCGUCGGCCUUCGGGCUCCCCAUUCGGCUCGUCUUGAAACACGG
rnacentral:ncRNA from 1 species